AUUGAACGCUGGCGGCAGGCCUAACACAUGCAAGUCGAGCGGAUGACGGGAGCUUGCUCCUUGAUUCAGCGGCGGACGGGUGAGUAAUGCCUAGGAAUCUGCCUGGUAGUGGGGGACAACGUUUCGAAAGGAACGCUAAUACCGCAUACGUCCUACGGGAGAAAGCAGGGGACCUUCGGGCCUCGCGCUAUCAGAUGAGCCUAGGUCGGAUUAGCUAGUAGGUGAGGUAAUGGCUCACCUAGGCGACGAUCCGUAACUGGUCUGAGGGGAUGAUCAGUCACACUGGAACUGAGACACGGUCCAGACUCCUACGGGAGGCAGCAGUGGGGAAUAUUGGACAAUGGGCGAAAGCCUGAUCCAGCCAUGCCGCGUGUGUGAAGAAGGUCUUCGGAUUGUAAAGCACUUUAAGUUGGGAGGAAGGGCAGUAAGCUAAUACCUUGCUGUUUUGACGUUACCGACAGAAUAAGCACCGGCUAACUCUGUGCCAGCCGCCGCUGUAAGAC
rnacentral:rRNA from 1 species